UACGGGGGGGGCAAGCGUUGUUCGGAAUUACUGGGCGUAAAGGGCUCGUAGGCGGCCAACUAAGUCAGACGUGAAAUCCCUCGGCUUAACCGGGGAACUGCGUCUGAUACUGGAUGGCUUGAGAUUGGGAGAGGGAUGCGGAAUUCCAGGUGUAGCGGUGAAAUGCGCAGAUAUCGGGAAGAACACCCGUGGCGAAGGCGGCUCUCUGGGACGGUACUGACGCUGAGACGCGAAAGCGUGGGGAGCGAACAGG
rnacentral:rRNA from 1 species